rnacentral:rRNA from 1 species
CCUACGGGUGGGCAGCAGUGGGGAAUAUUGGACAAUGGGCGAAAGCCUGAUCCAGCCAUGCCGCGUGUGUGAAGAAGGCCUUCGGGUUGUAAAGCACUUUCAGUGGGGAAGAAAGCCUUGGGGCUAAUACCCUCGAGGAAGGACAUCACCCACAGAAGAAGCACCGGCUAACUCCGUGCCAGCAGCCGCGGUAAUACGGAGGGUGCGAGCGUUAAUCGGAAUUACUGGGCGUAAAGCGCGCGUAGGCGGUCUGAUAAGCCGGUUGUGAAAGCCCCGGGCCCAACCUGGGAACGGCAUCCGGAACUGUCAGGCUAGAGUGCAGGAGAGGAAGGUAGAAUUCCCGGUGUAGCAGUGAAAUGCGUAGAGAUCGGGAGGAAUACCAGUGGCGAAGGCGGCCUUCUGGACUGACACUGACGCUGAGGUGCGAAAGCGUGGGUAGCAAACAGGAUUAGAUACCCCUGUAGUC